UACGUAGGGAGCAAGCGUUGUUCGGAGUUACUGGGCGUAAAGGGUGUGUAGGCGGUUGUUUAAGUCUGGCGUGAAAUCUCCCGGCUCAACUGGGAGGGUGCGCCGAAUACUGAAUGACUAGAGUGCGGGAGAGGAAAGUGGAAUUCCUGGUGUAGCGGUGAAAUGCGUAGAUAUCAGGAGGAACACCGGUGGUGUAGACGGCUUUCUGGACCGUAACUGACGCUGAGACACGAAAGCGUGGGUAGCAAACAGG
rnacentral:rRNA from 1 species